AUAGCUCAUUUUUUAUGCCCAAGAGGCCUUUGUGCCCUAUGGAGAUCCAGACCUUAUUUCCUUUGACUUGCCAGUUGUUAUUACAACCAACAUCUUGUUCUUGUUUUCUGUGAAGCAGAGGGAAUGUGUCUCAUUUAGUCCAAGACCCUGGGGAAGGGUGGGAUGGCAGGGAUGGGGGACAGGUAUGCUUUGAGACUGGUGCACAGUUUGCAAUAGAGCUAUGGCUGCAGUGAGUAGUUUUCCCAUUUUCAGGACUUGAUAGCCUCUGCUGGUUCACACAGGUUACUUCAUGCUUACCUGGGUUGCUUCCU